AACGAACGCUGGCGGCAUGCCUAACACAUGCAAGUCGAACGAGACCUUCGGGUCUAGUGGCGCACGGGUGCGUAACGCGUGGGAACCUGCCCUUAGGUUCGGAAUAACUCCCCGAAAGGGGUGCCAAUACCGGAUAAUGUCUUCGGACCAAAGAUUUAUCGCCUUUGGAUGGGCCCGCGUUGGAUUAGCUAGUUGGUAGGGUAAAAGCCUACCAAGGCGACGAUCCAUAGCUGGUCUGAGAGGAUGAUCAGCCACACUGGGACUGAGACACGGCCCAGACUCCUACGGGAGGCAGCAGUGGGGAAUAUUGGACAAUGGGCGAAAGCCUGAUCCAGCAAUGCCGCGUGAGUGAUGAAGGCCUUAGGGUUGUAAAGCUCUUUUACCCGGGAUGAUAAUGACAGUACCGGGAGAAUAAGCUCCGGCUAACUCCGU
rnacentral:rRNA from 1 species